rnacentral:rRNA from 1 species
AUUGAACGCUGGCGGCAGGCCUAACACAUGCAAGUCGAGCGGUAGCACAGAGAGCUUGCUCUCGGGUGACGAGCGGCGGACGGGUGAGUAAUGUCUGGGAAACUGCCUGAUGGAGGGGGAUAACUACUGGAAACGGUAGCUAAUACCGCAUAAUGUCGCAAGACCAAAGUGGGGGACCUUCGGGCCUCAUGCCAUCAGAUGUGCCCAGAUGGGAUUAGCUAGUAGGUGGGGUAACGGCUCACCUAGGCGACGAUCCCUAGCUGGUCUGAGAGGAUGACCAGCCACACUGGAACUGAGACACGGUCCAGACUCCUACGGGAGGCAGCAGUGGGGAAUAUUGCACAAUGGGGGAAACCCUGAUGCAGCAACGCCGCGUGAAGGAAGAAGGUUUUCGGAUCGUAAACUUCUAUCAACAGGGACGAAGAAAGUGACGGUACCUGAAUAAGAAGCCCCGGCUAACUACGUG